UUUGUUUCCACUUUCCUCUGUCUUGUGCCAACUUGCCCAAGUAGCUGUUUACGUGUUUGUGCGUCGGUAUGGAGAGAGCGGUGGCGCAGUGGCCAGGAGUGCAUCCACAAGCGAUUGAGUAAGGUCCCCUGGGCUAUACAUUUCUUCUUCAGAAGUGACCUGGCCAUCCAUGACGGCUCAACGAUGUGGCUUACGUGGAAAUCUAAAGCGGCGAGACGAAUGAGUGGCUGAGCAAGCUCGUGGUUACGUGAGCGUUGUGUUCUUCCGCACGCGGAGAGGCACGGGGCGGUGAGCAGACCCAGGGAGUGGGAUCGACGCUCCCUCGACCAUGUCGGAGCGGAGGUCUCCAAGCUCUUAGAAGUGGAACGCGUACAGGCAAGUCAAGAGAAACUUUGACAUGGGUGAGCGCGGCCCAAGUGGCCCAAUCCUCAGCCCAGGUGCGUGUGCCGUGACGACACGAAACACUCGUCACAAAUGAACCACGACACAUCGCUGCUGGUCUCGUCAAGGAGCAUCAACCAUCACGCGAACUGCGCUCAUCGUCGCAGCGGCGGCUUUUGGCAAACCGCCGAACAAAGGCGUCGCUGCAUCGUGCGCUUUCAGAUGCGCUUCUGCAAUCGUCUGGGAUUUGCCCUUCCGAUAUUAGGAUGCCCCUUUUUACUUUUAAGUUUUAAAUCUAGAUUGAAAACUAAUUUCUUCGGUACAGUUUUUGCAUUUUAUUUUGUUGUCCUUUCCCCACACCUCCUGAUUAGCACGGUUGGCUACGUACGGUGUGAAAGAAGUUCAACAUGCAUGCUUGUGAGCAGUUUUUUUUAUUAUAAAUAAUUGUUAACAUCACCAGAUCUCCGAAGCUAAGGCUUGGAUGGGUGAACACCACACACAAAACAAGUGUUAUAGGCUACUGAAAGGCCACGUUGAAGGUAGCAGAGGGCACUGCAGCAAAAUACAAUGUUGUAGUGUGUUUCUAUGGUCCCCCUCCCCCACCUUCAACAACUUGCACUGACCAGCAUGGAGAAGCGCAGUCGACUAACACCCACGCUCACCACCCCACAGACUCGCCACCACACAAACUCUCCAGCACACAGACACCAUAGACUCGCCACCUCCGAGACCCAUCAGACUCGCCACCCACACGAUGCGUGUCGGUGCACGGGCCCGGGUAAAACUACGUGACGGAGUCGCAGCCUUUCCCUGUACACCUUGGGGUGCGACAGGGAUGUCCUCUGGCUCCCACGUUAUUUAACAUCUAUUCUGACCGCCUAGUUCGUGAAGCCUUCAAUAGCUGUACGGGGAAAUUUCCAUUUGGUACAGAUAUAAUGGGAGGCUGAUCAAUGC